CUUCACCGACCCCAGCCACAACGGCCGCUCGGCAUCCCGCCCCUGCCCAUACGUCGCCAGCAACGCCUCCGCCUC
rnacentral:antisense_RNA from 1 species